UUAGGAAUUUUGCGCAAUGGGGGAAACCCUGACGCAGCAACGCCGCGUGAGUGAUGAAGGCCUUCGGGUUGUAAAGCUCUUUUAGCAGGAACGAACACAAUGACGGUACCUGCAGAAAAAGCACCGGCUAACUCCGUGCCAGCAGCCGCGGUAAUACGGAGGGUGCAAGCGUUAUUCGGAUUGACUGGGCGUAAAGCGCAUGUAGGUGGUUUGCUAAGUCUGGUGUGAAAUCCCUGAACUCAAUUUAGGAAGUGCACUGGAUACUGGCAGACUGGAGUAUCGGAGAGGAGAGCGGAAUUCCUGGUGUAGAGGUGAAAUUCGUAGAUAUCAGGAGGAACAACGGAGGCGAAGGCGGCUUUCUGGACGAUAACUGACGCUGAGAUGCGAAAGCGUGGGGAGC
rnacentral:rRNA from 1 species